UGGUCAAGUUAUUAAGGGUGCAGGGCGGAUGCCUUGGCACUAGGAGCCGAUGAAGGACGUGAUAAGCUGCGAUAAGCUUCGGGGAGUUGCACGUAAACUUUGAUCCGAAGAUUUCCGAAUGAGGAAACUCACUUAGAGUAAUGUCUAAGUAUCAUUAAGUGAAUACAUAGCUUAAUGAGGGGAACUCAGGGAACUGAAACAUCUAAGUACCUGAAGGAAGAGAAAGAAAUUCGAUUCCGUAAGUAGCGGCGAGCGAACGCGGAUUAGCCCAAACCAAUAAAGUUUUCUUUAUUGGGGUUGCGGACAUAUCAUAACGAAGAGGUAUCGUAAUUGAAGAGGUUUGGAAAGACCCACCACAGAAGGUAAUAGUCCUGUAUGUUAAACGAGAAGACUUCAGAUAUGAUCCAGAGUACCACGGGACACGUGAAACCCUGUGGGAAGCAGGAGGGACCACCCUCCAAGGCUAAAUACUACCUAGUGACCGAUAGCGUAUAGUACCGUGAGGGAAAGGUGAAAAGAACCCCGGGAGGGGGAGUGAAAUAGAACCUGAAACCCUGCACUUACAAGCUGUGGAAGCACAUUUCUUGUGUGACCGCGUACUUUUUUGUAGAACGGGCCAACGAGUUACGUUAAGUAGCAAGGUUAAGCACUUAAGGUGUGGAGCCGUAGCGAAAGCGAGUUUUAACUGAGCGUUCAGUUACUUGACGUAGACCCGAAACCGGGCGACCUACCCAUGAGCAGGAUGAAGCGAAAGUAAAAUUUCGUGGAGGUCCGAACCCACGAGCGUUGAAAAGCUCGGGGAUGACUUGUGGGUAGCGGUGAAAUUCCAAUCGAGCCCGGAGAUAGCUGGUUCUCCCCGAAAUAGCUUUAGGGCUAGCCUCAAGGUGAGAGAUACGGAGGUAGAGCACUGAAUGUCCUAGGGGGUAUUGCACCUACCGAAGACUAUCAAACUCCGAAUGCCGUCAUCUUAUACUUGGGAGUCAGACUGUGGGUGAUAAGAUUCAUAGUCGAAAGGGCAACAGCCCAGAUCGUCAGCUAAGGUCCCUAAAUGUAAGUUAAGUGGUAAAGGAUGUGGGAUUGCACAGACAACCAGGAUGUUGGCUUAGAAGCAGCCACUCAUUCAAAGAGUGCGUAAUAGCUCACUGGUCGAGUGAUCCUGCGCCGAAGAUUUCCGGGGCUAAAACUUACUACCGAAGCUACGGCAUCAGUAAUGAUGGGUAGGGGAGCUUCCCAUACGGGUUGAAGCAUGACCGUAAGGACAUGUGGACAGUAUGGGAGUGAGAAUGUUGGCAUGAGUAGCGAGAUGUGGGUGAGAAUCCCACAGGCCGUAAACCCAAGGUUUCCAGGGGGAAGGUUCGUCCGCCCUGGGUUAGUCGGGACCUAAGCUGAGGCCGAAAGGCGUAGGUGAUGGACAACAGGUUGAUAUUCCUGUACUACCGAUAACCGUUUGAGAGAAGGGAUGACACAGUAGGAUAAGCUAAGCACACUGUUGGUUAUGUGUGCCCAAGCAUUGAGGCAGUCAAAGUAGGCAAAUCCGCUUUGAUAAUGCUGGGAUGUGAUGGGGAGCGAAAUUUAGUAGCGAAGUAGCUGAUUUCACACUGUCAAGAAAAGUCUCUAUCGAGGUUAAAGGUACCCGUACCGCAAACCGACACAGGUGGGUGAGGAGAGUAUCCUAAGGCCAGCGAGAGAACUGUUGUUAAGGAACUCGGCAAAAUGACCCCGUAACUUAGGGAUAAGGGGUGCCACCAUCAGGUGGCCGCAGAGAAUAGGCCCAAGCGACUGUUUACCAAAAACAUAGGUUUCUGCUAAGUCGCAAGACGAUGUAUAGGAGCUGACGCCUGCCCGGUGCUGGAAGGUUAAGGGGAUCUGUUAGAGCAAUCGAAGCAGUGAACUUAAGCCCCAGUAAACGGCGGCCGUAACUAUAACGGUCCUAAGGUAGCGAAAUUCCUUGUCGGGUAAGUUCCGACCCGCACGAAAGGCGUAACGAUUUGGGCACUGUCUCAACAACAGACUCGGUGAAAUUGUAAUUCCGGUGAAGAUGCCGGAUACCUGCGACAGGACGGAAAGACCCCAUGGAGCUUUACUGUAGCUUGACAUUGGGUCUUGGUACUACAUGUACAGGAUAGGUGGGAGGCUUUGAAACCAGGACGCCAGUUUUGGCGGAGCCAUCCUUGGGAUACCACCCUUGUAGUACUGGGACUCUAACCAUAGGCCAUGAAUCUGGUCUUGGGACACUGUCAGGUGGGCAGUUUGACUGGGGCGGUCGCCUCCCAAAAGGUAACGGAGGCGCUCAAAGGUUCUCUCAGUACGGUCGGAAAUCGUACGUAGAGUGUAAAGGCAAAGAGAGCUUGAUUGCAAGACAUACAGGUCGAGCAAGGAUGAAAAUCGGACUUAGUGAUCCGGUGGUUCUGCGUGGAAGGGCCAUCGCUCAACGGAUAAAAGCUACCCUGGGGAUAACAGGCUUAUCUCCCCCAAGAGUCCACAUCGACGGGGAGGUUUGGCACCUCGAUGUCGGCUCAUCACAUCCUGGGGCUGUAGUAGGUCCCAAGGGUUGGGCUGUUCGCCCAUUAAAGUGGUACGCGAGCUGGGUUCAGAACGUCGUGAGACAGUUCGGUCCCUAUCCGUCGCAGGCGUAGGAAAUUUGAGAAGACCUGUCCUUAGUACGAGAGGACCGGGAUGGACGUACCUCUGGUGUACCAGUUGUUCUGCCAAGGGCAUGGCUGGGUAGCUAUGUACGGAAUGGAUAAGCGCUGAAAGCAUCUAAGCGCGAAGCCAACUUCAAGAUAAGAUUUCCCACCGCAAGGGUAAGACCCCAGAAAGACUAUCUGGUUGAUAGGUCGAAGGUGUAAGUGCAGCAAUGUAUUUAGCUUAUCGAUACUAAUAGGUCGAGGACUUGACCAAU
rnacentral:rRNA from 1 species